AAGCUUAUAGCAUGUGGCGAGGUACACCCUGAACAGGAAGCAAGCCUAUAGCACGUGGCGAGGUACACCCUGAACAGGAAGCAAGCCUAUAGCACGUGGCGAGGUACACCCUGAACAAGAAGCAAGCCUAUAGCACGUGGCGAGGUACACCCUGAACAAGAAGCAAGCCUAUAGCACGUGGCGAGGUACACCCUGAACAAGAAGCAAGCCUAUAGCACGUGGCGAGGUACACCCUGAACAAGAAGCAAGCCUAUAGCACGUGGCGAGGUACACCCUGAACAAGAAGCAAGCCUAUAGCACGUGGCGAGGUACACCCUGAACAAGAAGCAAGCCUAUAGCACGUGGCGAGGUACACCCUGAACAAGAAGCAAGCCUAUAGCACGUGGCGAGGU